GUGAUCUCUAAGGGAUAGUGAUAAGCGGUGGAAACGCAUGAGGGAAAUUUGAAGAAAGGAGAAGCUGGAAGAGGAUCACUCUGUUGUGCUCGCUGGUAUAACCCUGGGCCAGUGCAGUUUUCUGCUGAUAGGAGCACCGGCCCCAGGUUUCAGGAAUGGAUUUGCGGAAAAUGUUUAUGAAGAGAAACCCACAGUGAAAAAAAUCCUUUCUUUGACAUUAAUGCAUUUGGAGUGAGAAAAACGCACCUUGACUUUAGUGACUUUAUUGAUUCCCAUAGCCAACGUUUUAGUUAAAGUUCGGCUUUUCGCUCUUCUACGCAUGUGCAGCCGCACGGACAAAGAGGAGGACAGAAGAGGAUUGCUCCAUCGUGCUCAUUGGAAGAACCCCGUGCCGGUGCAGUUUUCUGCUGAGAGGAGCACCGGCCAGGGGGUUUAGGUAGGUAAAUACAAUCACUUGGGGGUGCCUAACAUUUGGCACCCCCAAGUGCAAGAAGACUUUCCUUCUCCUUUAAGUACUGUAGAUGAUAGAAAACUGAUCAGAAAAGUCUAUAAACUUUUAAAUGGUUUAUUAUAGGGUUGAGAAAUGUUACUAAUACUUAUAUAAAACUCAUAAAAACAUGUCUUUGCAUCAGAUGUUUACAGCUGCAAACCCUAAGUCAGCCCUAAGCAAGUUCUGGAUUUGAUAUGAUGAAUGGGAAUAGGAAAUUUCAUAGACACUCUGCAAUGCAAGAUCUUAUUGUUCCUAUUGAAUAUUCAUUUUUAAAUAUGUAUUUCUCAAAUGUAUUUUGGCCUGGGGGUUGUUAUGGGUAUGUUUUGCAAAGUUCUCAUCCGAUAUUAAGUCUCUGUCCUUACUUUUAUUCUGAUUUCGUUGAGAAAGGGAACUUUUAACAUUACUGAAGCUUUCUCCAUGUUAUCUAUGAGCAAAAGCAUUGUAAAAUAUUCCCUUUACAUUUCUUAUUCUUCUUACUCUUACAUUGAAUUUUAAGGAAUUAAGACUAAAGCAUGAUCUCCCAGAAGAGGAGAUUUGCAGAAGCACAUUAAAAUGGCUAUUAGGUGGCAUCAAGAUUCCUCUGUUGUGUUAUUAAGUAAAACUAAAAAUUGCAGAAAUCCCAUCCAUGUGUGCAGCCUUCCUCCCAGGCAUGAACUCAAAGGCCUGGGGAAAUAUUUGGAAGCAAUAUUCAUCAAUCCUAAUUAUUCUCAUUGCAGAGACGCUGAAAUAUCUAGUUCUAGUAAUUAGCAUUUGGUAACUUUGGAGAAAAAGAGCUUUCUUUCCAGCCUGCUCUUAAUUGGUUCUAAACAAUUCUGGAAUCUGUCUUGGAAUCCAAAUAUGGUCAUGCGAGAGCCAUACAGACUUUAAUCAGAUUCUCAGAAUACCAGCGCAUCUUGUCUCUGGAGCCAAGCAGAUGAAUAUGCUUGAAAAUAAAUGUGUUUGACUUGACUUGGCAAAAAAACAAAAUUGUACAGAGAGAAUUCUUAAGGAGUCAGUAGCUGGUAAUUUGCCACACAGUCUCAGCUACUGGAUGAUAGAAUGUUAGCCUAAACUGUUAAUAAUAAGUACACGCUAGUUUAUAAUAAGUGCAAAAUAAUCAGACAUAUGCUUAUAAAUGCAUUUAUAAAGAUAACAUUGCUAUUACACAGGAUUCAAAUUCUCCAUAAAACUGUACCACUGCACCUCUAGUUUUCUAAAUAAGAUGACUAGUGAUAGAAACUG